UACGAAGGGGGGCUAGCGUUGCUCGGAAUCACUGGGCGUAAAGGGUGCGUAGGCGGAUUUCUAAGUCAGGGGUGAAAGCCUGAGGCUCAACCUCAGAACUGCCUUUGAUACUGGAAGUCUUGAGACCGGAAGAGGUAAGUGGAACUGCGAGUGUAGAGGUGAAAUUCGUAGAUAUUCGCAAGAACACCCAGUGGCGAAGGCGGCUUACUGGUCCGGUUCUGACGCUGAGGCACGAAAGCGUGGGGAGCAAACAGG
rnacentral:rRNA from 1 species